UAAUACGUAGGGUGCGAGCGUUAAUCGGAAUUACUGGGCGUAAAGCGUGCGCAGGCGGUUCCAUAAGACAGAUGUGAAAUCCCCGGGCUUAACCUGGGAACUGCGUUUGUGACUGUGGGACUCGAGUGUGGCAGAGGGGGGUGGAAUUCCACGUGUAGCAGUGAAAUGCGUAGAGAUGUGGAGGAACACCGAUGGCGAAGGCAGCCCCCUGGGUCAACACUGACGCUCAUGCACGAAAGCGUGGGGAGCAAACAGG
rnacentral:rRNA from 1 species